CAUGUGCAGGGGGUUGGAGAUUCAUGAUCCUUGAGGUCCUUUCCAACCCCAGCCAUUCUGUGAUUCUGGGCUGGGGUCCAGACAGCAUGCAGGGCAAGCUUGCAGGCCCCAAAACACAGCAUGUUUAUGUGAGACAUUCAGCUCUGGGAUGGACACAUUCCGUGCCAAAGCAGGGAAUCACCUCAGAGGGUAAGGGCGAGCCUCUGUCUGGGAAAAGCUGACGGGAGCCAGUGCCCGGCAUUCUCUUAGUGACUGGGGACUCCAUGCUGGGAGGCACUGAGGCCCCCAUUUACUGCCCAGACAACCUCUCCAGAAACUGCUGACUUCUGGGGGGCGUGUGUCAGAGACAUAAAGGAGACUCCACAGCAUCUGAUCAAACAAGAAGACCACCAUAGAAUUGUUGUCAUUGAAGUAUUAUUGUUUCCAUGGAAUCCACGUACUGCAGUAAGGUUCCACCCUGGGAUGGAGGAACCAAGUCUCAGACUCAGGAGUUGACCAAAACUCCUUUGGCUCUCAAAAAUCACUGAGCUGUUCUCACAACCCUGGGUAACACUGUCCAGGUUAACUGAAUUUUUUUCUCCCCGUAUUAGGGUUUUCCUAUUCAAAGGCAAAUAACCUUAGGCUUCCUUUGGCCAAACCAGGCAGAAAUGGCAUCCUGAAUCCAGAAGGACUGCUUCAUGCUAGGGCUACAGCACUGGAAGCUAUUGAUAUAAAAGUCCUAUGGAGAAUACAGCAAGAACAAAGGAUGAAUUUAAGUUGUGUGGUUGUAGUGAUCUCUACUAUCUACAUAGCCAACUUCUAUGAUCCCAAGUACUUUCAGACAUCCAAGUAGAAGUUACAACCAGUAUGUCAAUCUGGGGAUUAAAGCUGAGGACUGCAGUUAAUGCUCCUCCUGUGACUCUUCCUUGAUGCUCACAGACUCAAAAAAAAGUGAAUACUGAUUUUCAAUCUUAGAUACAUUCUACUCUACAGUAUUUAUUUUAUAAUCUACUUGAGAAAGCUUCUUAUUUAUUAAAGAUUCAUUUGCAAGAAAAAUAGAGUAUUUUCUUCAAAAGAAAAUGAAGGGUAAUUUUAUAAGAUAGUUGGUAAAAGACCUGUUUGUUUCGAUUUCUUUUCAAAGUAAAGAUGUUUAAAUACAUAGUUUGCAUUACAUGGAUGAUGAACUGUCUUUUGCAGAGCUCUGCUGUCAACAGUUAACUGAAAUUUAGUGCA